rnacentral:lncRNA from 1 species
CUUUAUCCACUCAAAACUCAAAAGUCUUUCUUCAUGUUACUUUUUUAACGGUUGAAACUAACUCAUUACAUCUCAUUAUACAUACAGAUAGAUCAUAUAAUCAUAGUGAGAACACCCAGUAGCAGAUUUAACUGAACAAAAUGAUGAUGAUGAUUCUGGUAAAGACGACGACACAUCGCAGCCUUAUGAAUUGAUUGAAAAAGACACGGUGAAGUUCUCUGGUGUGCUACAAAUGAUUGUUCUGCUGCUUUCAGCCUCUGUCAUUU